UCCUCAGUAGCUCAGUGGUAGAGCAGUCGGUUGUUAACCGAUUGGUCGUAGGUUCGAAUCCUACUUGGGGAG
rnacentral:tRNA from 1 species